CAAGAAUAUUAGUCAAUGCUCGCAAGAGUGAACUAGCUAACUGGAAUCACGAGUGUGUCAUUUGUGAUAAGGUAAGAAAAAAUAAUGAUGUCACCUUACUAUCAGUGUUGUCAAAAUCUGGUGCCAGAAGACUCGGUAAGGCCAGAGACGCAAGCGCUAGUCAUCUUGAUCAGGCGUAAAGGGUGUGUAGGCGGCUUUUUUUAAAGCUAGAAUCAUAUAGAGGUCACCGUGAGAGAAUACUUAGAGUAGGGUUGAUAUCUGUAAAUACCUAGCGUAAUUCCAAUUAGCGAAUGCUUUCUUCCAAAUAAUGAUUGACGCUGAGAAACGAAGGGGAGGAACGACAAUAGGAUUAGAUACCCUGGCCUCCCUCUCUGUCAACGAUGAAUGGUAGUAGCUAGUUCUAAUGAGCUAGUGGCGAUGUCAACACGUUAACCAUUCCGCCUU
rnacentral:rRNA from 1 species